rnacentral:rRNA from 1 species
GAUGAACGCUGGCGGCGUGCCUAAUACAUGCAAGUCGAGCGAACAGACGAGGAGCUUGCUCCUCUGACGUUAGCGGCGGACGGGUGAGUAACACGUGGAUAACCUACCUAUAAGACUGGGAUAACUUCGGGAAACCGGAGCUAAUACCGGAUAAUAUAUUGAACCGCAUGGUUCAAUAGUGAAAGACGGUUUUGCUGUCACUUAUAGAUGGAUCCGCGCCGCAUUAGCUAGUUGGUAAGGUAACGGCUUACCAAGGCAACGAUGCGUAGCCGACCUGAGAGGGUGAUCGCCCACACUGGAGCUGAGACACGGUCCAGACUCCUACGGGAGGCAGCAGUAGGCAAUCUUCCGCAAUGGGCGAAAGCUUGACGGAGCAACGCCGCGUGAGUGAUGAAGGUCUUCGGAUCGUAAAACUCUGUUAUUAGUGAAGAACAAAUGUGUAAGUAACUAUGCACGUCUUGACGGUACCUAAUCAGAAAGCCACGGCUAACUACGUG